UACGGAGGGGGCAAGCGUUAUUCGGAAUUAUUGGGCGUAAAGGGCGCGUAGGCGGCUAGAUGUGUCAAAGGUGAAAUCCCUCGGCUCAACUGAGGAACUGCCUUUGAAACUGUCUGGCUUGAGGCCGGGAUAGGGUAGCGGAAUUCCCAGUGUAGCGGUGAAAUGCGUAGAUAUUGGGAGGAACACCAGUGGCGAAGGCGGCUACCUGGACCGGUUCUGACGCUGAGGCGCGAAAGCGUGGGUAGCAAACAGG
rnacentral:rRNA from 1 species